UAGGGAAUCUUCCACAAUGGACGCAAGUCUGAUGGAGCAACGCCGCGUGAGUGAAGAAGGUUUUCGGAUCGUAAAGCUCUGGUGUUGGUGAAGAAGGAUAGAGGUAGUAACUGGCCUUUAUUUGACGGUAAUCAACCAGAAAGUCACGGCUAACUACGUGCCAGCAGCCGCGGUAAUACGUAGGUGGCAAGCGUUGUCCGGAUUUAUUGGGCGUAAAGCGAGCGCAGGCGGAAGAAUAAGUCUGAUGUGAAAGCCCUCGGCUUAACCGAGGAACUGCAUCGGAAACUGUUUUUCUUGAGUGCAGAAGAGGAGAGUAGAACUCCAUGUGUAGCGGUGGAAUGCGUAGAUAUAUGGAAGAACACCAGUGGCGAAGGCGACUCUCUGGUCUGCAACUGACGCUGAGGCUCGAAAGCAUGGGUAGCGAACAGG
rnacentral:rRNA from 1 species